CCUAGCCGUAAACGAUGGAAACUAGGCGUGGCUUGUAUCGACCCGAGCCGUGCCGAAGCUAACGCGUUAAGUUUCCCGCCUGGGGAGUACGCACGCAAGUGUGAAACUCAAUGGAAUUGACGGGGGCCCGCACAAGCGGUGGAGUAUGUGGUUUAAUUCGAUGCAACGCGAAGAACCUUACCAGGGCUUGACAUCUGGCGAAUCUUGAUGAAAGUUAAGAGUGCCUUCGGGAGCGCCAAGACAGGUGGUGCAUGGCUGUCGUCAGCUCGUGUCGUGAGAUGUUGGGUUAAGUCCCGCAACGAGCGCAACCCUCGUCCUUAGUUGCUAGCGAUUUAAUCGCGCACUCUAGGGAGACUGCCGGGGAAAACUCGGAGGAAGGUGGGGAUGACGUCAAGUCAGCAUGCCCCUUACGUCCUGUGCUACACACGUACUACAAUGGUCGAGACAAAGGGCAGCAAACUGGCAACAGCAAGCGAAUCCCAGCAAACUCGGUCACAGUUCGGAUUGCAGGCUGAAACUCGCCUGCAUGAAGGAGGAAUCGCUAGUAAUCGCAGGUCAGCAUACUGCGGUGAAUCCGUUCCCGGGCCUUGUACACACCGU
rnacentral:rRNA from 1 species